rnacentral:rRNA from 1 species
UACGUAGGGGGCAAGCGUUGGUCCGGAAUCAUUGGGCGUAAAGCGCGUGUAGGCGGCCCGAUUAGUCCGCUGUGAAAGUCCAGGGCUCAACCCUGGGAUGCCGGUGGAUACUGUCGGGCUCGAGUCCGGAAGAGGCGAGUGGAAUUCCUGGUGUAGCGGUGAGAUGCGCAGAUAUCAGGAGGAACACCAAUGGCGAAGGCAGCUCGCUGGGACGUGACUGACGCUGAGACGCGAAAGCGUGGGGAGCAAACAGG